GCUUGCUUUCCUAAAUCUAGUGGCGAACGGGUGAGUAACACGUAGGUAACCUGCCGAUAACUCGGGGAUAGCCUUUCGAAAGAAAGAUUAAUACCCGAUGGCAUAAUAGAACCGCAUGGUUUGAUUAUUAAAGAAUUUCGGUUAUCGAUGGGGAUGCGUUCCAUUAGGCAGUUGGUGGGGUAAUGGCCCACCAAACCUUCGAUGGAUAGGGGUUCUGAGAGGAAGGUCCCCCACAUUGGGACUGAGACACGGCCCAGACUCCUACGGGAGGCAGCAUG
rnacentral:rRNA from 1 species